GAUGAAGAACGUAGCGAAAUGCGAUAAGUAGUGUGAAUUGCAGAAUUCAGUGAAUCAUCGAAUCUUUGAACGCACAUUGCGCCCUUUGGUAUUCCAAAGGGCAUGCCUGUUCGAGCGUCAUUUGUACCCUCAAGCUUUGCUUGGUGUUGGGCGUCUUGUCUCUAGCUUUGCUGGAGACUCGCCUUAAAGUAAUUGGCAGCCGGCCUACUGGUUUCGGAGCGCAGCACAAGUCGCACUCUUUAUCAGCAAAGGUCUAGCAUCCACUAAGCCUUUUUUUCAACUUUUGACCUCGGAUCAGGUAGGGAUACCCGCUGAACUUAAGCAUAUCAAUAAGCGGAGGA
rnacentral:misc_RNA from 1 species